GAUGAGGCACAAAAGCAUCCAAGAUGAUGCAGAAAAUGACAGUGUCAACUGGAUCCUUUGGGAGACUGAAGCUCAGAGAGCUACUUGCCCACAGGAUCUCAUCCAGGAUACAAUACUACAUUUAGCUGAUGUCUCUUUAGGUGCUUCUUGGCUACAAUGGUUUCUCAGAAUCUCCUUGUUUUUGAUGACUUUGACAAUUUUAAGAAGUACUGGUCAGGUAAUUUGUAGAAGACUCCUCUGAUGAGGCGGGGAUGUAGGUGGGGGGUAGACUGCUUGCUUAGUAUGUGCAAAGUCCUGGGUUCAAUUUCCAGCACUGCAGGGAAAGAAAAAAAAAAAAAAA